rnacentral:rRNA from 1 species
GGCUCAGAUUGAACGCUGGCGGCAGGCCUAACACAUGCAAGUCGAACGGUAACAGGAAGCAGCUUGCUGCUUCGCUGACGAGUGGCGGACGGGUGAGUAAUGUCUGGGAAACUGCCUGAUGGAGGGGGAUAACUACUGGAAACGGUGGCUAAUACCGCAUAACGUCGCAAGACCAAAGAGGGGGACCUUCGGGCCUCUUGCCAUCAGAUGUGCCCAGAUGGGAUUAGCUWGUUGGUGAGGUAACGGCUCACCAAGGCGACGAUCCCUAGCUGGUCUGAGAGGAUGACCAGCCACACUGGAACUGAGACACGGUCCAGACUCCUACGGGAGGCAGCAGUGGGGAAUAUUGCACAAUGGGCGCAAGCCUGAUGCAGCCAUGCCGCGUGUAUGAAGAAGGCCUUMGGGUUGUAAAGUACUUUCAGCGGGGAGGAAGGUGUUGUGGUUAAUAACCRCAGCAAUUGACGUUACCCGCAGAAGAAGCACCGGCUA